rnacentral:snRNA from 1 species
GUGUCCCUUCGGCAGCACAUAUCUGGAAUGAUACAGAGAUUCGCACGACCCCUGCACAAGGAUGAUAUGCAAAUUUGUGAAGUGUUUCAUAGUAAA